rnacentral:rRNA from 1 species
AUUGAACGCUGGCGGCAGGCCUAACACAUGCAAGUCGAGCGGAUGAAGGGAGCUUGCUCCUGGAUUCAGCGGCGGACGGGUGAGUAAUGCCUAGGAAUCUGCCUGGUAGUGGGGGAUAACGUCCGGAAACGGGCGCUAAUACCGCAUACGUCCUGAGGGAGAAAGUGGGGGAUCUUCGGACCUCACGCUAUCAGAUGAGCCUAGGUCGGAUUAGCUAGUUGGUGGGGUAAAAGCCUACCAAGGCGACGAUCCGUAACUGGUCUGAGAGGAUGAUCAGUCACACUGGAACUGAGACACGGUCCAGACUCCUACGGGAGGCAGCAGUGGGGAAUAUUGGACAAUGGGCGAAAGCCUGAUCCAGCCAUGCCGCGUGUGUGAAGAAGGUCUUCGGAUUGUAAAGCACUUUAAGUUGGGAGGAAGGGCAGUAAGUUAAUACCUUGCUGUUUUGACGCUACCAACAGAAUAAGCACCGGCUAACUUCGUG